GACGAACGCUGGCGGCGUGCUUAACACAUGCAAGUCGAGCGGUAAGGCCCUUUCGGGGGUACACGAGCGGCGAACGGGUGGGUAACACGUGGGUGACCUGCCCUCAGCUCUGGGAUAAGCCUGGGAAACCGGGUCUAAUACUGGAUAUGACUCCAUGACGCAUGUUGUGGGGUGGAAAGCCUUGUGCGGCUGAGGAUGGGCCCGCGGCCUAUCAGCUUGUUGGUGGGGUGAUGGCCUACCAAGGCGACGACGGGUAGCCGGCCUGAGAGGGCGACCGGCCACACUGGGACUGAGACACGGCCCAGACCCCUACGGGAGGGCAGCAGUGGGGAAGUCUUGCGCAAUGGGCGAAAGCCUGACGCAGCGACGCCGCGUGAGGGAUGACGGCC
rnacentral:rRNA from 1 species